CAGAGUGGAUCCUUGGGAGUGCUACCAGGGCACCUGGCAGACCACUUGCAGCGUUUUGGAGCAUCACCGAGACCUAAUGAAGAGAGUCACAGGGUGCAUUCUGUCCAACGUGAACACACCUUCCACAACCCCUGUGAUUGGCCAGCCCCAAAAUGAAACUUCUACUAUUUACCAAAACACAGCUAACAAGUCUGUGGCUAUUAAGCUUUGGGGAAAGAUGAGCGAAAGCCUGGGAAAAGUUUGCUGUGUUCGCCCACACAUGGAGCGUUUUACCU